rnacentral:lncRNA from 1 species
AAGAAGGGAGGUGGAAGAGAAAUUGCUUUGAGGCUGAAGAACCACCAAAGGAGCUGUGAACCCAUGGACCACAAUUCUCAGGUUGAACCAUAAGAACACAGGUUUAGUGAGCUCUUGCUGUACAAGGACCAGUGGGGUAGUUGAGAGAAAUACGAGACCUGGAUCCCCCUUGGCAGUUCAUACUGUCUCAUUGAGACGACGUGACUCGCCGUCCGUCUUCGGCAACGCGUGACGUGACAUUGGAGUGACCAUGAACUCAAUGACCGUGAACUCAACUGACCAUGAACUCGUGUGGCUGGGAGAAGCCUGCGCUCGGAGUUUAGAGAGAGCAGAGACCUCAGGCCAGGUGGAUCAGAGUCGAAAUACAGAGACCAAAUCCUUCUGCAGAGCAACAGGAUCUUUCUCCGGAUUCUCUGGCUCAAUGCGGCCGAAUCUGUAAUCUGCGUCUCCAAGUCCCAAAAUGUCUGAUUGGAGCUGCUGUCAUUGGAAAGAAGCGGCACUGGCAUGUGGUUCUCUCAUCCAUGGCAGGGAUCCUGAAAGAGAGGUGGAAAAAAGUGCUAAGCGGAGAAAAUGGAGAGGAGCACAUUUGAGGCACUUGAAUUCCAUGGCCUUUGUCCAGCACUGCUCUCACCCCCUUCAGCGACUUGUUAUGCUUCUUGUCACCAGGAAAAGCGUGGCUUUUAUGCUUCUCUGCAUUCUCCAAAUGCAUGGUGGAUGCUCAAUAGAUGGUGGUUGAAUUGAGAUUAGUGAAACUUGGCCCACUAGAAUGAACCCAGUCUACAAGAUUUGGAAAAGAUAAAUAUCCACCUGUGCGUUCUGCUAGUUAAGAAAAUGCGGAAUAGAUACCUGAAUGUCCACGUGGUGCCCUUCUAAAGACAUGGAGAGAUGCAGGUUGGUGCUCAGGUGUGAGACAGGCUUGGGCCUCACCAGCCAGCAUAGGAGUGAGGGAAGCAGGACCAAGGCCACAUCUGGGAGAAUAAAUGUUUCAGGGCUUCAGGAGGGAAAGGCUCA